AAAUUGAAGAGUUUGAUCAUGGCUCAGAUUGAACGCUGGCGGCAGGCCUAACACAUGCAAGUCGAACGGUAACAGGAAGCAGCUUGCUGCUUUGCUGACGAGUGGCGGACGGGUGAGUAAUGUCUGGGAAACUGCCUGAUGGAGGGGGAUAACUACUGGAAACGGUGGCUAAUACCGCAUAACGUCGCAAGACCAAAGAGGGGGACCUUCGGGCCUCUUGCCAUCAGAUGUGCCCAGAUGGGAUUAGCUUGUUGGUGAGGUAACGGCUCACCAAGGCGACGAUCCCUAGCUGGUCUGAGAGGAUGACCAGCCACACUGGAACUGAGACACGGUCCAGACUCCUACGGGAGGCAGCAGUGGGGAAUAUUGCACAAUGGGCGCAAGCCUGAUGCAGCCAUGCCGCGUGUAUGAAGAAGGCCUUCGGGUUGUAAAGUACUUUCAGCGGGGAGGAAGGUGUUGCGGUUAAUAACCGCAGCAAUUGACGUUAC
rnacentral:rRNA from 2 species